CCCGCAACGAGCGCAACCCUUGCCUUAGUUGCCAGCAGUUCGGCUGGGCACUCUAAAGGGACGUGCCGGUGUUAAACCGGAGGAAGGUGGGGAGUGACGUCAAGUCCUCAUGGCCUUUAUGACCAGGGCUACACACGUACUACAAUGGCCGAUACAAAGGGCAGCGACACUGCGAGGUGAAGCCAAUCCCGUAAAAUCGGUCUCAGUCCGGAUUGGAGUCUGCAACUCGACUCCAUGAAGUUGGAAUCGCUAGUAAUCGUGGAUCAGCAUGCCACGGUGAAUACGUUCCCGGGCCUU
rnacentral:rRNA from 1 species